ACGCAACUCAAUGGGGUCCUAGCAGUUGACUGUUUCUUUUUGAUGGGCGGCACGGUCUUGGCUUUGGUUUCUUGAGGGAGAGAAAGAAGCAUAUCAAAUUUUCAUACUUCAAGCAUGCGGUUUAUCGAUACUUAAGAAUAACUCCUGUGUACUUCUAUGUCAUACUGAUCGAUAUGACGGUGUUCUACGACAUCGGAUCCGGCCCGUUUUGGAGCACAUUUGCUGCGGGUUUCAGGGAAAGUUGCCGCAACUUCUGGUGGGCCAACGUCUUGUACAUAAACGACUACUAUAAUGGCGGUGGAGCGUGCCUGGGAUACACGUGGUACUUGGGAGCCGAUAUGCAAUUUUAUUUGGUCGCCCCCUCUUUCUGUUCGCGUUGUUGAAGGAUCGUAGAUGCGGCAUUAUCCUCAUUAUACUCACGUGUCUUGCGUCGUGCGCCUAUAUAUUUUCGAGACUUAUAUUCACGAUUAUCCUUGGACUCUCACUAUCAAUGUCGACUACAGUGGACGAGGGUGUUCGGUUGGACUAUUGCCACGAUCGUAUUGGUGUCCAUUCCAUACGGAUUGGCCUACUACUAUUGGUUUGGAUCGGGGCCUCUCCUCUCCGCUUUGUACAGCUCUCUACACAGACCGCUUUUCGUGCUAGCUAUUUCUUGGAUUAUUUUUGUCUCUGACCAAGGCUAUGGAGGCCCUAUCAACGCAUUUCUCUCGUCAAAGCCCUUCCAGAUUUUAAGUAGACUAAGCUUCAGCUUCUACUUAAUUCACAGUUUCUGCAUGGAAUAUGAUUACGGGACCAAACGGGCCGCCGCGUACUUUUCCUAUUAUAAUAUGCUCCAGGCAUCAAUAUUUCACAUCAUUGUUCUCCUUCCAAUCGCCGCUGUAUUAUCACUCACCUUGGAGUACCCAGUCAUUCAUCUUAGUAAACUAAUACUCACAAAGAAACGAGCUGAAAUUCCAAACUCUACGCAUCCAAUUGAUGAUGGCAAUGAAGUGCAAGUGGAGGAAACAGGGACUCUGCAAACAUCGACAAAGUAGAAUUGAAAACUCUGGUAUUGGUUAUUUAGUCAGAAUUUGUGUUCUGCAUGUUCACUUCAACUGGAGAUCUGGAACGCAGCCUGUGCACUACACUGAAAAAAAAUUCUCGGCGUUUUUACCAAGGUCCGUUGGUGCUUUUACCAUCUCACUUUUUUUACCAAUUAUUGGUAAUUUUACCAAGACAGACUAGUAAGCUUACCUAUAAACUGGUAUUUUUACUGUUUUACUAUGGUAAGAAUACCACUUUUAUUGGUAAUCAAUUCCAGGUAACUUUGCCAUUUUAUCUCGGUAAUUUUACCACAGUCGAUAAAAAU
rnacentral:lncRNA from 1 species